GACAGGACAGGUGUGUAGAGCCUGCAGGUAGUUAUUCAGUAUGCUACAGGACAGGUGUGUAGAGCCUGCAGGUAGUUAUUCAGAAUGCUACAGGACAGGACAGGUGUGUAGAGCCUGCAGGUAGUUAUUCACCCUGCUACAGGACAGGUGUGUAGAGCCUGCAGGUAGUUAUUCAGUAUGCUACAGGACAUGUGUGUGGAGCCUGCCGGAAGUUAUUCAGAAUGCUACAGGACAGGUGUGUAGAGCCUGCAGGUAGUUAUUCAGUAUGCUACAGGACAGGUGUGUAGAGCCUGCAGGUAGUUAUUCAGUAUGCUACAGGACAGGUGUGUGGAGCCUGCAGGAAGUUAUUCAGAAGGC
ensembl:lncRNA